GAUUCUGGUCUAAGCAGUGAGGUUUGGUAUGAGUCAAAUGCUUGUACCUUUAAGAUUGAGCUGUGAUGGGGAAGCACUUUCGAGUGCGAAGUAUCUGAUGUCACACUGCCAAGAAAAUCUUCUAGCGUUUAAUUAUAACCUACCCGUACCGCAAACCGACACAGGUAGUCGAGGCGAGUAGCCUCAGGUGAGCGAGAGAACUCUCGUUAAGGAACUCGGCAAAAUGACCCCGUAACUUCGGGAGAAGGGGUGCUCUACAUUUGUAGAGCCGCAGUGAAUAGGCCCAAGCGACUGUUUAUCAAAAACACAGCUCUCUGCUAAAUCGUAAGAUGAUGUAUAGGGGGUGACGCCUGCCCGGUGCUGGAAGGUUAAGAGGAGUGCUUAGCGUAAGCGAAGGUAUGAAUUGAAGCCCCAGUAAACGGCGGCCGUAACAAUAACGGUCCUAAGGUAGCGAAAUUCCUUGUCGGGUAAGUUCCGACCCGCACGAAAGGCGUAACGAUUUGGGCACUGUCUCAACGAGAGACUCGGUGAAAUUUUAGUACCUGUGAAGAUGCAGGUUACCCGCGACAGGACGGAAAGACCCCAUGGAGCUUUACUGCAAGUUGAUAUUGAGUAUCUGUUGCACAUGUACAGGAUAGGUAGGAGCCAUUGAACUGAGGACGCUAGUUUUCAGUGAGGCGUUGUUGGGAUACUACCCUUGUGUCAUGGCUACUCUAACCCGCACGGCUAAUCGUCGUGGGAGACAGUGUCUGCUGGGCAGUUUGACUGGGGCGGUCGCCUCCUAAAGAGUAACGGAGGCGCUCAAAGUUUCCCUCAGCAUGGUUGGAAAUCAUGCGUAGAGUGUAAAGGUAUAAGGGAGAUUGACUGCGAGACAUACAAGUCGAGCAGGUACGAAAGUAGGACUUAGUGAUCCGGUGGUACCGCAUGGAAGGGCCAUCGCUCAACGGAUAAAAGCUACCCUGGGGAUAACAGGCUUAUCUCCCCCAAGAGUUCACAUCGACGGGGAGGUUUGGCACCUCGAUGUCGGCUCGUCGAAUCCUGGGGCUGUAGUCGGUCCCAAGGGUUGGGCUGUUCGCCCAUUAAAGCGGCACGCGAGCUGGGUUCAGAACGUCGUGAGACAGUUCGGUCCCUAUCCGUCGCGGGCGUAGGAAAUUUGAGAGGAUCUGCCCUUAGUACGAGAGGACCGGGGUGGACUUACCGCUGGUGUACCAGUUGUCUUGCCAAAGGCAUCGCUGGGUAGCUAUGUAGGGAACGGAUAAACGCUGAAAGCAUCUAAGUGUGAAACCAACCUCAAGAUGAGAUUUCCCAUUCUUUAUGAAUUAAGAGCCCUGAGAGAUGAUCAAGUAGAUAGGCUAGAAGUGGAAGGGUAGUGAUACUUGGAGCGGACUAGUACUAAUAGCUCGAGGACUUUACC
rnacentral:rRNA from 1 species